rnacentral:rRNA from 1 species
GAUGAACGCUGGCGGCGUGCCUAAUACAUGCAAGUCGAGCGAACAGACGAGGAGCUUGCUCCUCUGACGUUAGCGGCGGACGGGUGAGUAACACGUGGAUAACCUACCUAUAAGACUGGGAUAACUUCGGGAAACCGGAGCUAAUACCGGAUAAUAUAUUGAACCGCAUGGUUCAAUAGUGAAAGACGGUUUUGCUGUCACUUAUAGAUGGAUCCGCGCCGCAUUAGCUAGUUGGUAAGGUAACGGCUUACCAAGGCAACGAUGCGUAGCCGACCUGAGAGGGUGAUCGGCCACACUGGAACUGAGACACGGUCCAGACGCCUACGGGAGGCAGCAGUAGGGAAUCUUCCGCAAUGGGCGAAAGCUUGACGGAGCAACGCCGCGUGAGUGAUGAAGGUCUUCGGAUCGUAAAACUCUGUUAUUAGGGAAGAACAAAUGUGUAAGUAACUAUGCACGUCUUGACGGUACCUAAGCAGAAAGCCACGGCUAACUACGU